GGUGGGAGCACAGGUGUUCUUUCCUUUCUUGAGCCUCUCCCCAUUCUGGAACCUUCUUCCCCAUCACCGAGGCCCGGCUCCACCCUCAUCACAGAGCUGAGCCAGGUGGCCCCGAGCCCACCGGCUCUCCCCACUGACCACUCGACUCGGCUUGACUCUGAAUGUCUGGUCCUGUGAAGCCACGUCUGCUCGUGUGGCUUUGGCAUCAGUGGCCAAGGGAGAGACAGCCGUUGAAAGCCUAAUUUGGGAGUUACACGCAUUCUCCUGCCCAGCCAGAAAAAGCCCUCAGGCUGGUGAUGGGCGCCUUGCAAGCAAGCACCCAGCUCCCUGACCGCAGCUCCUCCCCUAGAGGCGAAGCAGGGGAUUUACCGGUGCCGGGUAACCAAUUAACGCCGUGGGACAGAGGACCGGCAGGCCACCGGGACUGCAGAUGGCACACGUUUCCUCUGACCUCGGGAGAACGAAUGGAGGCUUUUCUCCCUGCCAAGGCGGGACAAAUGAGCACCCAGGAAACCCGGCAAUUGAAGGGGGCUGCUGAGACAGGAAGAAAGGGGCAGCUGGAUUGGGAAGGGCUCUGGACAAAUUGUGCCACCUCGCCAGGCCAUCCUGGGGAAGGUGCCGGGUGGGCCUAG
rnacentral:lncRNA from 1 species